rnacentral:RNase_P_RNA from 1 species
GAGGCAGGCUGGAUAGCCGCUCUUUCUUUUGAAGGAGAGGAAAGUCCGAACUCAGAGGGUGAGUGUAUUCCGAUAACGUCGGAACGCAGGUUUCUUAGACCUGUUAGGAUAAGAGCCACAGAGACGAGUUCUCCCAUUUGGGAGAGGUGAAACGAGGCAAUCUCUACACGAGUUAAGGUUAAAUAGCCCGCGCUUAAAGCUGGCCCGGCUAAGCGGGUGGGUUAACCGCUAAAUAUCUGAAGCAAUUCAGAUAGUAGACAAAUGGCUGUCUAAAACAGAAUUCGGCUUACGGGCCUGCCUCUAUU